rnacentral:ncRNA from 1 species
ACCGGGGUACCUUCCGGUCGUAUCGAUCGACGACGGCAGGGCGGAAGCCGGUGGGAUUCCGGCGCGGUCGCGCCACUGUAUGCCCCCUACGGUCCGCUGCCGUGUGCAGCGUACGGGCAGGGGCGAGCCAGACCCGCGAGCCGUCACGAGCUCCA